CAAGAGGAAGCGGGGAGGACCGUUUGUCUCUCGCUGCUCCACCUUGGUCGGCGCUCCGACUCCGGCAGGGACGUGAAAACGCUCACGCCCCCAGGUCGAGUUCUCGCGGCAGCGCGUUCUCCGCCCGGCAGGCGGCGCUGUGGGCUGGCGGGCUGUGUCGGCCAAGGAUCGGGUCCCGGACGCGCGCCCGGCCGCCGCCGCAGGGCCGCCACAGCCGCACGUGCAACCGCGUCGGGCCCUGCGGACCCCUAUUCCCCUGAACCUGCGCCUGGGCGCCGGCUAUGGCGGCCGCUGCGGCGGGGACGCGCGUGUUCCUGGAGGUGCGGAGACGGCUGCAGAGCGCGCUGCUGAUCCUGGGGGAGCCUAAAGAAGGGGGUAUGCCCAUGGAUAUUUCUGUAGUGCCGUGCUCACUCCAGGUGAAGACCCCGGAAGGCUGCACAGAGCUCCAGCUUCCAGCAGAGGUCAGGCUCGUGCCUUCCUCCUGCCGAGGACUGCAGUAUGUCCCGGGAGAGGGACUGCACCUGCGACUGCAGGUGUGGGCAGAAUCUGAUGCCAAACGGAUUUCAAUGUUUAAUCAAAGCUUGCAAGCCCAAGGAUGUUGCACAUUUUAUUGCCAGUCCUGCGGUGAAGUCAUAAUAAAGGACAGGAAGCUCCUCAGGGUGCUCCCAUUGCCGAGUGAGAACUGGGGAGCGCUAGUUGAAGAAUGGUGUUGUCAUCCUGACCCCUUUGCUAAUAAGCCUCUUCAUCCACAAGAGAAUGACUGUUUUAUUGGAGACUCUUUCUUCUUGGUGAAUUUUAGAAGUGAUUUAUGGCAGCCAAGACCUGAACUAGCCCCAGUGGAGACACAGUGUUCUUCUGAGAACCAUUUUAAAUUGAAACCAAAGGCAAAUACCAAAGCAAUUUGUAAGCGUUGCAAGGUAAUGUUGGGAGAGACCAUGUCAUCAGAAACCACCAAGUUUUAUAUGACGGAGAUAAUUAUUCAGCCAUCUGAAAGAAAAUUUUCUAUCAUACCAAGGUCUCAGUUUGUACAGAGUGUUAUUGCCCAGUGUCUAGUGGAACUCUCCGCUGCUAGAAGCACUUUCAGAUUCACUAUUCAAGGUCAUGAUGGCAAAGUGUACAUCCUGCUAUGGCUUUUAAACUCAGAUAGUCUGGUGAUUGAAUCUUUGGGAAGUUCCAAAAGUAUCAAAAAGUUCCCCCUGUUGGAAGAUAACUUGAAGGCAGAUUCCUGUUCUGCCUGGAAUGCUGUCAAGGUCCUCUACCAGCCAUGCAUCAAAAACAGGAAUGCAGAAUGGCUGCAGGAUCCUGGAGCCCUCCGGGUACCUCAAUUGGAAACAAGAUCCAUUGAACUUCUGUCAUUGGCCCCUCCAUUGUUAAGGCUGGCCACUAUUGUAACAUCUACUGUGCAAGCUUUGCAGUGCUUGGGAAAGUGACAUCAGCAUCCACUCUCUAACCCUGCCCUCUGCAACCUGCUUGGAGCUGCUGCUGAUAUUAUCAAGGAAUAACGCCACACUGCCUCCAUCCCUUCGCUCUAUGAAUUCUUUUCAGGUGGCCUUUUUGAAGAUGUAACUUUUGGAGCUGAGGCCUCCUCUCCCCACAGACAGCUCUCCGGCUGGAGCAUGCGGGAGGUCCAUGUUCUGCAUGGUGGGCCGUGGUCACAGACAAAGGUACCAGAGCUCCAGAGUCAGUGUGUGGCAUUGAAGUUGUGAGUUGGUCUGUUGCCAUAUAGUCUCUAAGAGAAGAGUUCACUUCAAAUGUAACAAGAAGUAAGGUGGCAAAGAAUGUUCCAGUAGCAGAGAAGUUAUGACUCUGUUUCCCACAGAGAGAAUAUUCAGGUAUGUGCUAUGUCAGCAGCACCUGGAAGGAUGUUUGCUCGUGGAAUCCCAUCUGUCCUUUGGGGGCUGCAGUGGGGACUCUGCUGGUGGAACCGAAUGUUAACUGCUAUAUAUCUAAGCAGAGAGACUUAUAAACUGCCCAUUCAGUUUGUGGAAAACAAAUUUUUAGAAAGAAAAAUACAGAAUUUUGUAUACCUGAUUCAGAAGGGAUGCUCUGUGAAUAAAUGUGUGUUGAAUGAAUGAUUAUCAAAUUAAAGGUUUUCCUGUGUGUGCAAA